rnacentral:lncRNA from 1 species
GAUGUCCCGUCGGGAUUUAAAUUCUUAGUAUCAAUGUAGGAUAUUUAUUUAUUAUUAGAUGGGCUACAUCCAAGUUUGGCCCUUGUUUAAGGUUUUCCAAUUAUACCACUUGAAUUGAAUUGUUGAUAGACUGUUUGAAUUUAUUCAGUUUUUUGCCUUGUAGUAAUUAUCAGUCACUUGUUUUGAUCGCCAGAGCAGUAAUUUUUAUUAUUGACCAUCAGUAGCCCUUCUUGUGUCUUUUUUAAAUCAAGAUCUGG